CGAACCCCUAUGUCCUUAUUGAUGAGGGCUAGGUAUGACAGAAAAGCUAUCUCGGGGAUAAUUGAGUUGUAGCGCCUAAGAGUUCAAAUCGACGGCGCUGCUUGCUACUUCGUUGUCGGCUCUUCGCAUCCUGGAAGUGCAGAAGCUUCCAAGGGUACGGGUGUUCACCGGUUAAAGCGGAUCGUUAGCUGGGUUAAGAACGUCGUGAGACAGUUUGUAUAAUAUCUACUAGGUGUGUUAUUGUCUGAGUGGAACGAUCCCGUAGUACGAGAGGAACCGGGACCGGGUGCCUCUGGUGAGCAGUUGUCAAAGGCAAGCUGCAUAGCUACGCACUACAUGGAUAAGAGCUGAAGGCAUCUAAGCUCGAAGCCAUUCGCAAGACGAGACAAUUAAGGCCGUCGAAAAAGACGACGUUGAUAGAGUUGCUGUGUAAGACUCAAGCUUCGGCGAGAGUUUCAGCAGACAACCACUAAAAGCCCCACCUGUCUUUUGA
rnacentral:rRNA from 1 species